GGGAUAUGAGGAGUGGUUAAAUCUCGUAACUUAAUAUGCGAGUUGGGUGUCUGCUCCAAGCCUGUUACGACAGCUGGGCACUCCCCUUUCAACUAUCUGAUCCC